rnacentral:pre_miRNA from 1 species
CACAGCCACUGCAUCUACCAACGAAGAGGCCAGGGCCACCAAACUUGAUGACACUGGCUUCCCCGUCAGUGGAUUUAGUUGGCUGGA